rnacentral:rRNA from 1 species
CUAUUUCUAGAGAUAGAAAGUUACUUCGGUACAUCGGUGACAGGUGGUGCAUGGUUGUCGUCAGCUCGUGUCGUGAGAUGUUGGGUUAAGUCCCGCAACGAGCGCAACCCUCGACCUUAGUUGCCAGCAUUCAGUUGGGCACUCUAAGGUGACUGCCGGCUAAAAGUCGGAGGAAGGUGGGGGAUGACGUCAAAUCAUCAUGCCCCUUAUGACCUGGGCUACACACGUGCUACAAUGGGCGGUACAAAGGGUCGCGAACCCGCGAGGGGGAGCCAAUCCCAAAAAGCCGCUCUCAGUUCGGAUUGCAGGCUGCAACUCGCCUGCAUGAAGCCGGAAUCGCUAGUAAUCGCGGAUCAGCAUGCCGCGGUGAAUACGUUCCCGGGCCUU